UCAUGGGCGAGAGCCUGACCAGCCAAGUAGCGUGAAGGAUGAAGGCUCUANGGGUCGUAAACUUCUUUUAUAUGGGAAUAAAGUUUUCCACGUGUGGAAUUUUGUAUGUACCAUAUGAAUAAGGAUCGGCUAACUCCGUGCCAGCAGCCGCGGUAAUACGGAGGAUCCGAGCGUUAUCCGGAUUUAUUGGGUUUAAAGGGAGCGUAGGUGGAUUGUUAAGUCAGUUGUGAAAGUUUGCGGCUCAACCGUAAAAUUGCAGUUGAAACUGGCAGUCUUGAGUACAGUAGAGGUGGGCGGAAUUCGUGGUGUAGCGGUGAAAUGCUUAGAUAUCACGAAGAACUCCGAUUGCGAAGGCAGCUCACUAGACUGUCACUGACACUGAUGCUCGAAAGUGUGGGUAUCAAACAGGAUUANAUACCCUGGUAGUCCAAGGGCGAAUUC
rnacentral:rRNA from 1 species